CACGUAGGGGGCGAGCGUUGUCCGGAUUUAUUGGGCGUAAAGAGCUCGUAGGUGGCUUAGUAAGUCGGGUGUGAAACCUCCAGGCUUAACCUGGAGACGCCAUCCGAUACUGCUAUAGCUUGAGUCCAGUAGGGGAGCGUGGAAUUCCUGGUGUAGCGGUGAAAUGCGUAGAGAUCAGGAGGAACCCCCAUGGCGAAGGCAGCUCUCCUGGUCGACCGUCUGACGCUGAGACGCGAAAGCGUGGGGAGCGAACGGG
rnacentral:rRNA from 1 species